AGGAAAAUCAGCAGGGCGUGAGUGUGUGUAAAUUAAUGUAGUGGGAUGACAUUGAUCAAUAUUUCUAUGACUUUUUAUGUUUCUUUCUUCAGUUUCUUGUAUUCUUACUUUUUUCACCUGAUAAAGUUUUAUGCACAUUUUAUGCAUCAGAUCCUGAGAACAUUGAAAGGAAGGGAAGGAUAAGUCACUUUGGUACAAUCAUGGAAGGAGACCAAGAGAAGGAGGAAACAAACAACUCAUUGCCACCAAAUGCCGCGAUUUCCACUCUAAGUCUCUAUUUGAAACAUACAUGGGAUUGCUAAUUCUGAUAUGAUGGGAAAGAAGGAAGUUAUAUAGAAGGUCUGCAAUCUCAAUUUAUCUCAAAUUUUUGUAAAUCUUUCAAGAAAUACAUCAUCACAAACUAAGUUGCUCGGACUCUUCAACUAUGUCUAUGGGUGUGUGUUGGAUCCUCCAAAAAUAGUGUAUUUUUGAAGGAUCCGACACGGGUGCGGCAACAUUUUUGAAGAGUCCGAGCAACUUAGAUCACAAACAUGUGACAACUCUUCAGGUACUGAAAUCAUUGAGAAAUCCAAUGCAACAAGAAGUGGGAUAUUCGCGUGCAAAGAGUUUGAAUUGUGAUGCAGAGUGGUGGAAUCAACCAUCGAUAAGCAUUUGGUGUUUGGGGCUAUUGUAAUUAAUUAUCAAGAUGUUUAAAUAGGUGUUUCUGUACAACAUUUGUCUUCAUGUGCAAUAACAAGUGUUAUUAUAAAUCCUCUUACCUAUUAAUACAUCGAUUUUCUUAAUAAAAAUUAUAAUUUCAAUAAA